AUUGAACGCUGGCGGCAGGCCUAACACAUGCAAGUCGAGCGGAUGAAGGGAGCUUGCUCCUGGAUUCAGCGGCGGACGGGUGAGUAAUGCCUAGGAAUCUGCCUGGUAGUGGGGGAUAACGUCCGGAAACGGGCGCUAAUACCGCAUACGUCCUGAGGGAGAAAGUGGGGGAUCUUCGGACCUCACGCUAUCAGAUGAGCCUAGGUCGGAUUAGCUAGUUGGUGGGGUAAAGGCCUACCAAGGCGACGAUCCGUAACUGGUCUGAGAGGAUGAUCAGUCACACUGGAACUGAGAGACGCUGCAGACUCCUACGGGAGGCAGCAGUGGGGAAUAUUUGACAAUGUGCGAAAGCCUGAUCCAGCCACGCGGCGUGUGUGAAGAAGGUCUUCGGAUUGUAAAGCACUUUAAGUUGGGAGGAAGGGCAGUAAGUUAAUACCUUGCUGUUUUGACGUUACCAACAGAAUAAGCACCGGCUAACUUCGUG
rnacentral:rRNA from 1 species